rnacentral:misc_RNA from 1 species
GGCACUCGUGUACUGACUACAGCCCACAGCAAUUACAAUAUUUACAACAAAAAUCUUGUUUUACUUUAACACAUCAUGAAGUUUCGUGAAGCCAUGGUGUGAUAGGUGCAGAAAGAUUUCUUCACAGCUACUUGGUUGUUCAGUGGCGGGGGACAUGUCUAUCGUGUGGACGCUCAGUGGAGAGUGAUGUGUCGUUUAUGCACGGGUCAUUUUCGACUGGAUGUUCGUGGUCUUUCACCACUUAAACGACCUCAGGGACAAGUCCAUUCCAGCCAACCAGGUGGUCAUCCGGCAGCCAAUGUGUUGACCGGAUCAGAGACAUAGUGACUAACAGUCGACAGUUGACAAGGAAAUCACAAUUUAUGAAUGAAAAUGCGCAAAAUUCAUCGUGGAACACGUGCAUAUUAUUACACAAUAUCACACAUUGAAAGUGUUUUUGCUGAGAAUCGAGAACACACAAUAAAACAAUAAAGACUCUGAAAAAGAAAACCACAAGUUGAACAGUGUAAAAAUGACAAAAUGAAGACAAGGACAAUAGUCAGGACAUGGCCCGCCGCCUAACUCGGGUACACAGCUCUUAUCUCGGGUGAUAACACAGUGGCCUUGUGGGUCAUUGCACAAGCUCUGGUGUACAGGUCGGUAGUCCAGCUCACAUCGCCUUUUUCUUCUUGUUGAGAGCACCAAACAUGUCAUCGUCCUUUGCCGACAGCGUUAACAUCACCCACUACAUCACAUACGCCAUCGCACCGUCGGUGAUCAUUCUAACUCUGCUGGCUUUUCUGCAAAAUCGUCGACAACCAAACAAAUGCGGAUACCACAAACCAUCACUAGUAGUACCGAUGAGGUUUCUGGAUGGCUACGAGGACAGGUGGGCCUACGCCUUGUCGUUCGGCGCCAUCACCGGGGUGUUGAUCAGCGUCUUCAUGAACUCCUUCAUCUCGUCCUCGGGCGAGGUGUCCAGCGACAGCACCAACAUGUUCUGUGGGCAGAGUAACAGCACCCUGUGCCGAGAGAUCUGGGCUAAAACACUCCUGCUGCAGGCGCAGGCGCUGGUGGCUAGCCUGGUGUGCGCGCCGCACUUCGCCUGCAUCACCACAUCACAUCGCCUGGUUGGCGCCGUAUGCGGCCUACUGUACAGCACUUUCUGGCUUGUUGUCUACAUGCAGGGCGUGGUGGCCAGUAUACGAGCCAUGAGUGACAAAACAGUGGGGGCACUGAUGCUGCUCCGAGACCUUCCCAUCAUCCCCUGCUUCAUCGGACUCGCCCUGCGGUCUGUGUGGGCAGCUUACAUGUGCUACAAGACAAGAACUCUUGUGGUUGAGAGUGAGGAGCCGUUGGUUGUGGACCAUCAGGUGAAGCACGUUAAAGCACUCUUCGCUCCCCUGUCAAAGGAUGUACAACACCCCACCACACUGCUCGAAAAGUUAAAGAGAAAAGUCCGCUCGCAGUUGUACCCGUUCUUUAAAUUACCAACCCGUAUAGUUUCCAUCGCCUUUGUGCAACUCAUCGUUAUUUAUUAUGCGGCGCUGACCCUGACCCCAAUAGGUGUGGAGACCCGCCGACUAGUCAUCUUCUUCUUGUCUGAGAACACCAGCGAAAGAAACACAAUCAUUGCAAUCUUCGAAGGUGUGUGGAUCACCGCGUCAUUAAUAGGAGUUAUAUCUUCAGUCAUCUAUGUUAUAUUGUUCGUCAUAAAUUACAGGCACAAUGUUAUUUAUAUAUACAAAGGCAUGAAGUCAAGUCUCAUGGAGGGUUCCAGCACAGCCCAUAAGUUGAUGGCGCAGAGUCUUCGUCUCCCUGGUUACCAGAUCGCCUACAUUGUAUGGGGGCUGGUGGUGAUGUUUGGAGCUGUUGCUGUUAUUGGUGCAAUCUUGGCAUUUGGUAUUUUCUUCUUGGCUAAACUAAAUCUGCUCACUUCAGUUCUUCAAAGCCUCGCACAGACACUCAGCGUGCCAGCAAUUACCAUCGGUCUGUUCUACCUGCAAGUUCUGUUCGUCAGAAUGUUCCUCAUGCAGCCUAAACUUCACCCUGAGGACAAGGGCCACCUCUCAACGUCAACAACAGGCGGCUGUACGAAGUGUUCAGCUAUGUUCUUCUCUUCUCCAACCUUCUGGUUGGUCUGGCGUCGGCUCUGUCCAGGACGAUCAAGGGCUUUAUCCUCGGGCUUGUCUUUCUAGGCCGACUGGACAGGUGUCUUCUUAUGAAGGGCUUCGAGGGCUUGGAUCCAGGCUACAUGGCGUACGUGGGGACGCUGCUGGUGGACAACGCCCACAACAACCCCUGCAUGCGCGUGUUCUGUGCCGUGCUGACGCGCCUCAGCUGCAGAGAGGAUCAGAAGGCGGCGUACGGCAUUCAGUUCCUACCGGAAC